CUGGUAACUGAAGCCCUGGUGAACGGCGGCCGUAACAAUAACGGUCCUAAGGUAGCGAAAUUCCUUGUCGGGUAAGUUCCGACCUGCACGAAUGGCGUAACGAUGGCGGCGCUGUCUCCACCCGAGACUCAGUGAAAUUGAAAUCGCUGUGAAGAUGCAGUGUAUCCGCGGCUAGACGGAAAGACCCCGUGAACCUUUACUACAGCUUUACAUUGAACUUUGACCUGACUUGUGCAGGAUAGGUGGGAGGCUUUGAAGCCGAGACGCUAGUCUUGGUGGAGCCAUCCUUGAAAUACCACCCUGGUCAUGUCGGGGUUCUAACUCAGGUAUAACAAUACCGAGGACAAUGUAUGGUGGGUAGUUUGACUGGGGCGGUCUCCUCCUAAAGAGUAACGGAGGAGUACGAAGGUGCGCUCAGAACGGUCGGAAAUCGUUCAUAGAGUAUAAAGGCAAAAGCGCGCUUAACUGCGAGACCCACAAGUCGAGCAGGUACGAAAGUAGGUCUUAGUGAUCCGGUGGUUCUGUAUGGAAGGGCCAUCGCUCAACGGAUAAAAGGUACUCUGGGGAUAACAGGCUGAUACCGCCCAAGAGUUCAUAUCGACGGCGGUGUUUGGCACCUCGAUGUCGGCUCAUCUCAUCCUAGGGCUGAAGCAGGUCCUAAGGGUAUGGCUGUUCGCCAUUUAAAGAGGUACGUGAGCUGGGUUUAAAACGUCGUGAGACAGUUCGGUCCCUAUCUACCGUGGGCGUUGGAAAUUUGAGAGGAUCUGCUCCUAGUACGAGAGGACCAGAGUGGACGAACCUCUGGUGUUCGGGUUGUCACGCCAGUGGCAUUGCCGGGUAGCUAAGUUCGGAAGAGAUAACCGCUGAAAGCAUCUAAGCGGGAAGCCCACCUCAAGAUUAGAUUUCCCUAAAGAGCCGUUCAAGACUAGGACGUUGAUAGGCAGGGUGUGGAAGCACAGCGAUGUGUGUAGCUAACCUGUACUAAUUGCUCGUU
rnacentral:rRNA from 16 species